GAUGAACGCUGGCGGCGUGCUUAACACAUGCAAGUCGAACGGAAAGGCUCCUGCUUGCAGGGGUACUCGAGUGGCGAACGGGUGAGUAACACGUGGGUGAUCUGCCCAGCACUUCGGGAUAAGCCUGGGAAACUGGGUCUAAUACCGGAUAGGACGAUGGUUUGGAUGUCAUUGUGGAAAGUUUUUUCGGUGUGGGAUGAGCUCGCGGCCUAUCAGCUUGUUGGUGGGGUAAUGGCCUACCAAGGCGUCGACGGUAGCCGGCCUGAGAGGGUGUACGGCCACAUUGGGACUGAGAUACGGCCCAGACUCCUACGGGAGGCAGCAGUGGGGAAUAUUGCACAAUGGGCGCAAGCCUGAUGCAGCGACGCCGCGUGGGGGAUGACGGCCUUCGGGUUGUAAACUCCUUUCGCUAGGGACGAAGCGCAAGUGACGGUACCUGGAGAAGAAGCACCGGCUAACUACGUG
rnacentral:rRNA from 1 species